rnacentral:rRNA from 1 species
GACGAACGCUGGCGGCGAUGCUUAACACAUGCAAGUCGAACGGAAAGGCCCUGCUUUUGUGGGGUGCUCGAGUGGCGAACGGGUGAGUAACACGUGAGUAACCUGCCCUUGACUUUGGGAUAACUUCAGGAAACUGGGGCUAAUACCGGAUAGGAGCUCCUGCUGCAUGGUGGGGGUUGGAAAGUUUCGGCGGUUGGGGAUGGACUCGCGGCUUAUCAGCUUGUUGGUGGGGUAGUGGCUUACCAAGGCUUUGACGGGUAGCCGGCCUGAGAGGGUGACCGGCCACAUUGGGACUGAGAUACGGCCCAGACUCCUACGGGAGGCAGCAGUGGGGAAUAUUGCACAAUGGGCGGAAGCCUGAUGCAGCAACGCCGCGUGCGGGAUGACGGCCUUCGGGUUGUAAACCGCUUUCGCCUGUGACGAAGCGUGAGUGACGGUAAUGGGUAAAGAAGCACCGGCUAACUACGUGCCAGCAGCCGCGGUGAUACGUAGGGUGCGAGCGUUGUCCGGAUUUAUUGGGCGUAAAGGGCUCGUAGGUGGUUGAUCGCGUCGGAAGUGUAAUCUUGGGGCUUAACCCUGAGCGUGCUUUCGAUACGGGUUGACUUGAGGAAGGUAGGGGAGAAUGGAAUUCCUGGUGGAGCGGUGGAAUGCGCAGAUAUCAGGAGGAACACCAGUGGCGAAGGCGGUUCUCUGGGCCUUUCCUGACGCUGAGGAGCGAAAGCGUGGGGAGCGAACAGGCUUAGAUACCCUGGUAGUCCACGCUGUAAACGGUGGGUACUAGGUGUGGGGUCCAUUCCACGGGUUCCGUGCCGUAGCUAACGCUUUAAGUACCCCGCCUGGGGAGUACGGCCGCAAGGCUAAAACUCAAAGGAAUUGACGGGGCCCCGCACAAGCGGCGGAGCAUGCGGAUUAAUUCGAUGCAACGCGUAGAACCUUACCUGGGUUUGACAUGGAUCGGGAGUGCUCAGAGAUGGGUGUGCCUCUUUUGGGGUCGGUUCACAGGUGGUGCAUGGCUGUCGUCAGCUCGUGUCGUGAGAUGUUGGGUUAAGUCCCGCAACGAGCGCAACCCUUGUUCACUGUUGCCAGCACGUUAUGGUGGGGACUCAGUGGAGACCGCCGGGGUCAACUCGGAGGAAGGUGGGGAUGACGUCAAGUCAUCAUGCCCCUUAUGUCCAGGGCUUCACGCAUGCUACAAUGGCUGGUACAGAGAGUGGCGAGCCUGUGAGGGUGAGCGAAUCUCGGAAAGCCGGUCUCAGUUCGGAUUGGGGUCUGCAACUCGACCUCAUGAAGUCGGAGUCGCUAGUAAUCGCAGAUCAGCAACGCUGCGGUGAAUACGUUCCCGGG